AGAGUUUGAUCCUGGCUCAGAGUGAACGCUGGCGGCGUGCUUAACACAUGCAAGUCGAACGGUAACAGGAAGUAGCUUGCUACUUUGCUGACGAGUGGCGCACGGGUGAGUAAUAUAUAGUUAAUGUGCCUCGAAGACUGGGAUAGCCACUGGAAACGGUGAUUAAUACUAGAUACACCUUUUUGACUUAAGUCAGGAAGGGAAACGUUUUUUCGCUUCGAGAUCAGACUAUAUCCUAUCAGUUAGUUGGUGAGGUAAUGGCUCACCAAGGCGAUGACGGGUAGCGGGUUUGAGAGGAUGAUCCGCACACUGGUACUGAGACACGGACCAGACUCCUACGGGAGGCAGCAGUGAGGAAUAUUGCACAAUGGGGGGAACCCUGAUGCAGCAACGCCGCGUGGAGGAUGACGCAUUUCGGUGUGUAAACUCCUUUUAUAUGUCAAGAAAAUGACGGUAGCAUAUGAAUAAGCACCGGCUAACUCCGUGCCAGCAGCCGCGGUAAUAC
rnacentral:rRNA from 1 species